GAGACCCUUUUGCCCACCUGCCACCCCUGAGCUUGUCCAGCGGAACAACCACAGACCAAUAGACCUUAAAGGACACCAUGUUAGCCCUUUAUCUUGACUUCCACAAGCCUCUCCUGUCCGUACUUAAAACCUCGGCUCCCAGAUCAUGCAGCAUCGCCUACUUAGGCCUGCCAGCUGGGACCUGGAACUGGUUAGAAGACACGUGUCCCCCAACCACUCACGUGAGCAAGAGGAAGCUUCACCAAAUGCCUCGGCAGCACAGGACAGCAGCCGCAGAGACAGCCCCCCCGGCCCCCCGCGCCACUCUUGGGAUGCACGUGAUGCAACUACGUCAAGAAAUAUUUAUUUUCACCUCAUCCUUUGACAUGAUCAUCUUUCUGUGGACAGUGAAAACAACAUGGAGCUUGGUGACAAUUAAGAACUAAAUUUAAGCAAACUCUACCUGGUCAACUGCCUAAUGAGCUGAUCUGAGCCUUAAGCCUCCGUUUUCUUAACAUGGUGAUGGUCAUAAGGAUAAACUUAACUUUAUAGGAAGGAUUCCUAGGCAAAUCGGGUGAGACUGUGAAUGCGGAAAGACUUGCCAAGCCUUAAAACACUGUAAAGUAUGCUAGAUAGAAAAGUGUCUUUGUAGAAUGAUUGCAAAUAUAACACGAAUUCUCUGCACCUC